rnacentral:lncRNA from 1 species
UUUCUCUUCCCCUCGGUAGAGUUUGCUUCUCCAACAUUAUGAGGAAUUAUUUUGAAACUUUUGUUUGGUGGUUCUUCCCUGUAGAGUUUUCUAUCUUGUCCCGAUAAGUUCCCCAGUAGAGUUUCUUCUAUGAUGGAAUCUUAUCCAUGUAGUUUCCCCCAGCUGAGACUCUGUCUGAUCCUGAUUUGGCGUUGGAACUUCUGAGGAAGACGUUUU